UACGAACUGUGCGAACGUUAUUCGGAAUCACUGGGCUUAAAGGGUGCGUAGGCGGCGGCACAAGUCAGGUGUGAAAUCCCCCGGCUCAACCGGGGAACAGCGCUUGAAACUAGGUCGCUCGAGUGAGGUAGGGGUGUAUGGAACUUCCGGUGGAGCGGUGAAAUGUGUAGAUAUCGGAAGGAACGCCGGCGGCGAAAGCGGUACACUGGGCCUUGUCUGACGCUGAGGCACGAAAGCUAGGGAAGUGAAC
rnacentral:rRNA from 1 species